AACGAACGCUGGCGGCAGGCCUAACACAUGCAAGUCGAGCGAGGACUUCGGUUCUAGCGGCGGACGGGUGAGUAACGCGUGGGAAUGUGCCCUUCUCUACGGAAUAGCCCUGGGAAACUGGAAGUAAUACCGUAUACGCCCUUUUGGGGAAAGAUUUAUCGGAGAAGGAUCAGCCCGCGUUGGAUUAGGUAGUUGGUGGGGUAAUGGCCUACCAAGCCGACGAUCCAUAGCUGGUUUGAGAGGAUGAUCAGCCACACUGGGACUGAGACACGGCCCAGACUCCUACGGGAGGCAGCAGUGGGGAAUCUUAGACAAUGGGGGCAACCCUGAUCUAGCCAUGCCGCGUGAGUGAUGAAGGCCUUAGGGUUGUAAAGCUCUUUCAGCUGGGAAGAUAAUGACGGUACCAGCAGAAGAAGCCCCGGCUAACUCCGUG
rnacentral:rRNA from 1 species